UACGUAGGGGGCAAGCGUUGUCCGGAUUUAUUGGGCGUAAAGAGCUCGUAGGUGGUUCGGUAAGUCGGAUGUGAAAUCUCCAGGCUCAACCUGGAGGGGUCAUUCGAUACUGCCGUGACUAGAGUUCGGUAGGGGAGUGUGGAAUUCCUGGUGGAGGGGUGAAAUGCGCAGAUAUCAGGAGGAACACCCGUAGCGAAGGCGGCACUCUGGGCCGAUACUGACACUGAGGAGCGAAAGCGUGGGGAGCGAACAGG
rnacentral:rRNA from 1 species